GCUGCCAGUUGCAACGGGUGAAGCCGGGCGACUCUGGCGGGACUGCCAUCGACAAGAUGGAGGAAGGUGGGGGAUGACGUCAAGUCAUCAUGGCCCUUAUGUCCAGGGCGACACACGUGCUACAAUGGCCGGCACAGCGGGAAGCGAGGCAGUGAUGCCAAGCGGAUCCCUUAAAGCCGGUCUCAGUUCGGAUUGAAGUCUGCAACUCGACUUCAUGAAGCUGGAAUCGCUAGUAAUCGCAGAUCAGCCAAGCUGCGGUGAAUACGUUCCCGGGCCUU
rnacentral:rRNA from 1 species